CCUAUAAAAUAACGUUAAUGCAUCAUAUCCCAUUAGAACUCUGCAGUUAAGCGAUCUUGGGUUAGAGUAGUACUGGCAUGGGUGACCGCGUGAGAAGUCCUAGUGUUUUACAUGC
rfam:Picea glauca, whole genome shotgun sequence.